GCGAGUGGCGAACGGGUGAGUAAAGUAUCGGAACGUACCUUUCAGUGGGGGAUAAUGUAGCGAAAGUUACGCUAAUACCGCAUAUUCUGUGAGCAGGAAAGCAGGGGAUCGCAAGACCUUGCGCUGAUUGAGCGGCCGAUAUCAGAUUAGCUAGUUGGUGGGGUAAAGGCCUACCAAGGCGACGAUCUGUAGCGGGUCUGAGAGGAUGAUCCGCCACACUGGGACUGAGACACGGCCCAGACUCCUACGGGAGGCAGCAGUGGGGAAUUUUGGACAAUGGGCGCAAGCCUGAUCCAGCCAUGCCGCGUGAGUGAAGAAGGCCUUCGGGUUGUAAAGCUCUUUCGGCCGGGAAGAAAUCGCAUGGGCUAAUACCCUGUGUGGAUGACGGUACCGGAAUAAGAAGCACCGGCUAACUACGUGCCAGCAGCCGCGGUAAUACGUAGGGUGCGAGCGUUAAUCGGAAUUACUGGGCGUAAAGCGUGCGCAGGCGGUUUUUUAAGAUAGGCGUGAAAUCCCCGGGCUCAACCUGGGAACUGCGCUUAUGACUGGAAGACUAGAGUAUGGCAGAGGGGGGUGGAAUUCCACGUGUAGCAGUGAAAUGCGUAGAGAUGUGGAGGAACACCGAUGGCGAAGGCAGCCCCCUGGGCCAAUACUGACGCUCA
rnacentral:rRNA from 1 species